rnacentral:rRNA from 1 species
CGUAGGUGCGAGCGUUGUCCGGAAUUAUUGGGCGUAAAGAGCUCGUAGGCGGUGUGUCGCGUCGGCCGUGAAACCUGGGGCUCAACUCUGGGCGUGCGGUCGAUACGGGCAUCACUAGAGUUCGGCAGGGGAGACUGGAAUUCCUGGUGUAGCGGUGAAAUGCGCAGAUAUCAGGAGGAACACCGGUGGCGAAGGCGGGUCUCUGGGCCGAUACUGACGCUGAGGAGCGAAAGCAUGGGUAGCGAACAGGAUU